AAAAAAAUCCUAGAACAGAGCUUAGGCAGUAAUUUCUGGACAUCAGCCAUAGGAACAUUUUUCUAGAAAUGUCUCCUGAGGCAAGGGAAACAAAA